CCUACGGGUGGCAGCAGUAGGGAAUAUUGCUCAAUGGGGGAGACCCUGAAGCAGCCACGCAGCGUGAAGGAUGAAGGUUCUCCGAUUGGUAACUCCUUUUGUUAGAGAAGAUAAUGACGGUAUCUAACGAAUAAGCACCGGCUAACUCCGUGCCAGCAGCGCCGGUUAUACGGCGGGUGCAGACGUUACUCGGAAACACUGGGCGUAAAGGGCGCGUAGGCGGGAUAGUAAGUCAGAUGUGAAAUCUUUUGGCUUAACCAUAGAACUGCAUUUGAAACUGUUAUUAUAGAGUAUGGGAGAGGUAGGUGGAAUUCUUGGUGUAGGGGUAAAAUCCGUAGAGAUCAAGAGGAAUACUCAUUGCGAAGGCGACCUGCUAGA
rnacentral:rRNA from 1 species